GUUCGACCUCCUAAUUGCAUCAUCAGCUGCUCUGUUUCUCCUUUUGUUCCCCGGCAUCUCAGUUCAACGCUGUUGAAUUCCUUCAAUUACUCCCCGUCUAGACUGAACUAUGGAUUCCCUUUAGCCACAGGUGAAGUCAAACCCACCCCACACCUGUCUCCGACUUCCACGCUUCCCAGCCGGUUCACCUGGGUGGUCCCUGGUAGCUAUUUAUAUUACUCAUGAAUAAAAUGCAGGCAUUAAAUCAAAUGCAGAAACUAAUUUGGCCCAACAAUCAAAUCAACUAAAUCAAAAUGAACAGUGAACAUUGACCUUUUCUUUAUUUUGCAGCGUUUUUUGGUUGAUGAGCUGAAAAGUAUUAAGUUUUAUGGCCAAGCAGAGACACUAGUCUGAAAGAUUAAUCAAAGGCAUUAUUAUUAUUUCAAAAACGAUUUAGUCUGAGUGGAAGCUCCAUUUUUUUUAUUAAAUAACUUGGUUCCAUUCCAGGAACGAUUGAUGAGCAACUCUGGUGAAAGUUCUGUAACCCAGCCAGCGUCCUCGACACUCUCUGCCUGGGCUUAAUCAUCAGCCUGUUUUACAUCAAAGCGAGCCUUGGCGAACCUCCCACCCAUAUUUGUUACACCUUAGCCUUAAAUAUCAGCUUCUGCGUCUCUGCCAGUUGAAGGGAAUUAAUAUGCAUUAAAGCUAAGUGCUGAGGUUUAGAGGAGGAGACCUGACUUUUUGUGCAGCGUGCCGUAGAGGGAGUGGGCUGUGAGUUACGAGGGAUGGGACUGAUUCUGACACUUUGAGGCAGCCCUUAUUCAAUGUGCACCUUUUGUCACCGUUCACCAGCCAUGUCUUUUAUAUCCGUCAUGCACAGGAUUCCAUAACUCCAUUAGCAACACCCCCACAACAAACACAAGCCAGUCCUCCCCUGGAAAACACCCGCAUGUUGUGCACUGCUUGCACCUUUUUCACUACAAUUGCUUCCCAUCUGUUGUCCCUAUUGUGGUGUUCUAAUGUUUAGUCAUAAAAUUGUGAUUUAGGCUCUUUGCAUUAUUCUGAAUUGGCAUUCAGGAAAUACUGUUUUUUUUUCUUUUCCUGAACAAACUGAGAAUAGUUGCGGUCACUUUGUAUGCAUUUGCGUCCAACAGGUGAGUUUCCUGAAUAUCUUUGACACGUCUCUGAAGAACGUCACAGGCUACAUGACAGAUUGAAGACCAAGGCUUUUGGCCAAUCCGUCAAUCUGUUCAAAUGAGAAAAAUACCGUUUCACACACACAAACAUGCACAUCUGGAGAAAGAAAAGCCACCCUCGUUGCAGACAUCUGGUAGAGUGGAGGAAACGGUCUGUUGUGUUCCUGGAGCCCCCCGAGGAGUCGCCGUGUGGAACUCAGACUCGUUCUGGCCACCGAGGUCCUUAAAGGACACCAGUGGCCAGGUGCCAGGGAGACAGUUUGGCGCCUAAUUCAUCACCGAGCCUUCCUGAGUGACACGCUGGAAUGACAGUGUUCAGCACAUGGCCGUUUCUCUUCCUCUUUCUCUCUACAUCUCCAUCUAAUUAACAGAGCUUUUAAAUCCCAACAUGGCAACCUCUUAAUGAGCCAGACCCAAUAAAAUCACAGCUGAAAUGUAUUUCUUCCACGCCGGCUUUUGUAAGGCACCUCCCAUCUUUUUGUGACAGGAAAUCCGAUUUUUCUCCGGAGUAAUCAUUAAACCUCCACGUUUUCUUCUCCAUCCUUACUUUGAUCGGUUUUCUCGUGGCCUCUCCGGUCCUCCAUCUGCUGGAAGAUAAAUAGGCCAAAGUACAGCAGUCACUCUGUCAGUUCUUGAAGGCUGAUCAAAGCGGCGAGACACAACCUGUCCCAUCCCCAACCUGUCGCAUCCACAACACAAUUUAGCUGCGAGGAGGAGAGGAUUCAGACGUCUCAGUUUUUCACUCUGUCACUGAGCUGAUGAAUAAAAACCACUGAGAGGGAAGCAGUAAAGCUCAGGCUGUGGAUUUGUUUUUCUGUGGAAUUGUAAAAAAAAAAAAAAAAAAAAAAGAUGAAACCAUGAAGCGUGCCGGAUGGGUUUUGCCGUGAUUUAUUUAUGCUGACUCGCUCUCAUGUCUGUAUGGAGAUGUUCUGGUUUUGGGGUGACGAGCACAGAUCUCCACUUUAAACAAUUAAAGACCCUACCUGGACAUUCCUCACCAAACUCCAUCACUUCUGCCCUCACCUGGUCUAAAUAAUGCCCCUUUUAGAGACAUUAAAAAGCAACAAAAGUUGACGGGCAGCACAUAAAAGCGCCCCAUGUGUCUUGUAUCACUUUUUUGUGCUCGAGAGUCUCUUACUAAAUGUGGUUUUCUCGGGUUCUUUGACUUUAUACCAGUAAACCCAGUUUGUACAGAAAGGCUUUCAGCCUCCUGGUAGUUCCACUCGAGGGCUUAAAGACUGCGACUUUAUCCAUUUCCUUUGAGAUGACAGACUUUUUAUGUGCUCAGAAAAUCUCUCGGAGGUGUCCGAGGGGUGUUGUGUACCCUACUGCUCGACAAAGGACAUGUGUUAACUGUGUUUUCUUCUUCUUCUUUCUUGUUCUUCUCAAGUGCUGCUUCUCUGUGAGCCCACUUCCUACGCUACAUCCCCUUGGUUUAUUAUGUUUUGCCUGAAGACUUUGCUGAAUUCCGGUCCAUAAAUCCGUCGGUUUUGCCCGAGUGUGCACUUCAUUUUUCAGGUUCUCCAGUGUCUGCUUAAACAGUGCAGAGUGGAUGUCUUACAGCUGGUGCUGGCAUGAUUUCCUGCCUAUAGGCUGGUCUGAAGAAGAGGAUGAAGCAUUGACAGAGGACAGAGGUUGCGCGUCUCGCCUGUGAUUAAUGGUAAUCCCAACACCACGGGGUUCAGAGAAGAACUCCAAGAGGGAACUGCACAACAAUUGAAAGCAAAUGGAAGAUGUGUGAACAGACACAUUUUAACACAAGUAGGGUAUUCACUAAGAGACAAAUAGAGUCCCCAUUAGGACUUAUUUUCAUGUCAUGAUUAUUGGGACAAAACCAUGGACUUUAGAAAUGUGACAUUUCUGCAGCAGGUUAAUGUUAUUCUUAACUUCCAUCCGCUUUCCGCUGCAUAGCCAAGGUCCCGUCUAGGAGGUGGUAGGUUAAAGGGACUUUUCGGACUUUUGAAUUUUUAUGCUCGUGAUUGCCCCCUCAGGCCAAAAGCAUAAUGGCAGCUUCAAUAGUAGGCUCGUGCAUGAGGCGCGCAUGCUGCACGUGCACACUCCUUAAUGAAAAUAACAGCUGAGACAGUCCCGUGUGUGUGUGUGUGUGUGUGUGUGUGUGUGUGUGUGUGUGUGUGUGUGUGUGUGUGUGUGUGUGUGUGUGUGUGUGUGUGUGUGUGUGUGUGUGUGUGUGUGUGUGUGUGUGUGUGUGUGUGUGUGUGUGGGUGGGUGUGUGUGUGGGUGUGUGUGUGUGGCCCGGAGGACAGAGGACAGGAGAACGUGCAGCUAAUUAAUUAAAUAAUUUGGUUCUGUACCUUUCUCUUCAGCACAGCCGACAAAGGUUUAUGAUGGGUCAGUCCUCCUGCAUGCUCAGAUCAUUCCCUUCCCUUGCUUGAAAAAUUGUUCCAAAAUGAAAGUUGAACCCACAUCUUUUUAUCUGUGAAUUCAAUGCCGUUCGGUGAGUCUCAAAUAAAAAUUUGGGCAAAAAGCAACAGUGAGAUCCUGAGGUUCCCAAACCAAACUCAUUUCUCUACAUUUGAACUUUGAAGUCUUGUGAAUGAAUGAUGGAAACCGAAUUAGAGGCCAGGUGAAGUCCAACUUAGGAAAAAGCUCCGUUGCUCAAGCUUUUCUCGACUUUUAACUGACUAAGGAGAGUAUUUACCCUUGGAAGAGAGAUGUGAAGCAGAGUAGCGAGUAUAACUACAUUGUUAUUCUAGAACAAAACCAAACAAACAAGGUCGAAACAGAAACUGUGCCGGUUUGGAUUGGACUGAACUUUUUCUGGUUAAAAUCCAAUUUAGCUUAAUUCUCCAGAAACAUAUUCCAUGUAGAUCAUUCUGUAAUCUUAAAGGCAAUGGCCAGAUUUCAUGAGCUGCAGGAUUUAAUUUGAAGCUGCAAUUCAAUAGAAACUUUCUCAGAUGGGAGUUUCCAGUUAUAUGUGAAAUCUAGAAUAUUGCUCUAAGCUUUGAAAACAAACACAGGCAGCUAAUUAUAAUAAUGACCUGUGCAAAUUAACGCCAGGUCAUAAACAAGAAGAGCGUCUGAUAAUCAGACGAGGGUAGUUAAACCACAAUAUUGGUGCAGCUUGUUUUAUAUUCAAUUCAAUUCAAGUUUAUUUAUGUAGCGCCAAAUCACGACAAGAGUCGUCUCAAGGCACUUCACGUGGUAAACAUUCAAUACAGGUCGGUUCAUUAAGCCAAUCAGAACAAAGUUCCUAUAAAAGGAACCCAGCAAAUUGCAUCAGGUCACUGACUGGUGUUAGUGACUUUACAGCAAUGUACAAACAUCUUCAACGUAGACUUGUUUUACCAAGAAGAGAAUUUAAUACAAAUCUGAGCAAUGUUUGUUUGGUUGCAUGUUUAAAAAGCUGCUAUAAAUAAACCCUAAUUUCACCUAGAUAUCAUAAAGCUUUAGUCUUCAAUUACCUCUAUUGAAAUUACUUGUUGGCUUUCAUGCUUCAGGACCAUGGAAAGCGUGUUUAAAUGAGGCCAUUACUGAGUCAUUAAACCCUAACAUGCAGCAAUAACAAGAAAAAGGCAAAUAAAUUUAGUUUAUCUAACAACCAUCUCGCUUUAAUCUCAGCGCAGCUCCAGUUUCUGUAAAAGAGCCGGCGUUCUUUAAGAUGGAUGUAUUUCAGCACAUGGAUUCUGGGUAUUGAAAUCACCCCACGAGCUCCUGCAGAGCCCCCCUGGCAAAUUGGAAACAUUAUACACUCCUGUACUCCAUUUGGACCAGAACAGUGCAGGCAACAUGCAGACUGUGAAAUGUUAUCUACAGAAACCAUUAUAGUUUGCUCAAGAUUGAGGAGUAAAAAAGUGAAGUAAUACCAGAUGGUUCUGGAGAAAGUCACAAGCAGUAAAAUGUUUGAAUUGAAUUUCCUUCCAUCCACCCAUCCAUUUUCCUCUACUUGUCCAGAGUCGGCUCAGGCCAGCUCCUCCGGGGGAAAUCCUUAAGUGUUCCCUGGCCAAGAGACUUACGCCGGGGACACACCGGCCGCCGAAGCGCCGCGAAACGGGGACCGCCUUCGUUCGGCGCCCUUGUUUUCCUAUUCUAUAGGUCACAUGGGCCGCCGAAGCGCUGCGCCGGCGCUCCAGCCCGCGCCGUGCAGCGAUCGUUUCGGUGUCGGCUCUAUUUUUUUCGCGAGCCGCGGGUGAACCGCGCCAAUUCUGACAGGAAGUCAAACCUAGACAUAAGAGGCAGGCUGGUAAAUUUAACAAAAUAAAGCAUUUCAAAAUACAAUUCCGCCAUAGUCAAAUGUGUUCAUAAACAGACACUGCAUAAAAACCACACACACACACACACACACACACACACACACACACACACACACACACACACACACACACACACACACACACACACACACACACACACACACACACAGCAAACUUGUGUGUGUGUGAGACCACGUGAAGGGGGUGUGGUUUGGGGUGUCUUUCAACCGGAGCAAACAGGACAGAGAGGCAGAAAGUCGUAGGCCAGCUAUUAACAGCUAGCCUGGCAAGCCAGACUAAAUAAAUGUAUUAUUUAGUCUGGCAGCGCUCCAUUGACGGCUCUCGGUUGUGGGGCGGGUUCUACCGUUGUCUUUCAAACGAUCUCCGCAUGCCACUGGACAAUGAAUGUGACAUACUCUUGUUUCACUCUGUUGCAUCAUCCCACCCACCAGGCGUAUAGAGUGCCCCGAUUGGCCCACAAAGCGGAUAAAGCUCUGUGAUUUGUUCACUAAGCAGAUAGAGCACUAUGAUUGGCGCACCAUUAUAGACCAAUCACAGCUCUUUAUGUGUUUGAAACCCCUCUAGAGAGCUGUGAUUGGCUAGCCAGAAUGCUGUUGGGGCUGCAGAGGUUCCAGUGGAGCGUUCCUAGACCAAACUUUGCUAAGCAAGACUUUGGUCUAGUUCACUAGGCUAAUUAACAACUGGUUCACACCAUAGGUUCACACACACACACACGCGUACAAACACACACAAACAGCAAGGGGGAGGGGGGUGUAGAGGAAAAGAGCAGAGAAAAGGCAGAGAGGAAAUGGAGGACACCAAGUGGUUAAAAGAAAAACUACAGCUGAGCCGAGGCGCGCCUCGACCGCACCGGAGAAACAAGCGUCUGGUCUGAACUGAGGAGCAGCGGCCGAAUUUCAUGAGCGCUUUGCCUCCCGGCACUUCGCGGCGCUUCGGCGGCCGGUGUGUCCCCAGCGUCAGUCCCUCUAGCGUGUCCUGGGUCUUCCUUUAGGUCUCCUCCCAGUGCUCCGAAAACCUCACCAGGGAGGCGUCCAGGAGGCAUCCUAACUAGAUUCCCGAGCCACCUCAGCUGGCUCGUCUCGAUGUGGAGGAGCAGCGGGUCUACUCUGGGCCUCUCUCCGAUAGCCGAGCUUCUCACCCCAUCUCUAAGGGAGAUCCCAGCCAGCCUGCAGAGAAAACUCAUUUUGGCCGCUUGUACCUGCGAUCUCAUUCUUUUGCUCACCACUCAAAACUCACGACUCUCUACAACGCCCGCAUCACUGCAGACGCAACGCCAAGCCGCCCUUCAGUCUCACGCUUCAUCUUUCCCUCACUCGUGAACAAGACCCUGAGAUAAUUAAACUCCUCCACGUGAGGCAGGACCUCGUCCCUCACCUGUAGGAGGCAUUCUACCCUAGACCAUGGUCUUGGGUCAUUCCAUACAACUAAUUUCCCUCUGGGAUGAAUAAAGUAUCUUUGAAUUUGAACUAGAACAGUUAAUGCGCCAAUAACAACAUAAGACACAGCUAGCAUUACAUUUGGGUAAAGUCCAGGAUUUCUGUGCAACAUCGGAUAAAAUACUUUCUACUGUCCAUUUUCUGUUCUGCCCAUGCAUGCUCGUCAUAGGGAGGGUUAUUGAAUUCAUGUAGCCGAGGAGUUUGUUUGAAAUGCAGUGCGUUCAUCCCUGCAAAAACAGAACUACUAAGAAUAAAAGCAUUGUCGAUGAAAAAGUGAUAACUUUGAGUCGUCCUGUCCCUCUAACACUUAGCCCAUGCCCUAUAGUGCUUUUGCAAAACAGUGCAAAAGGUCUUUUUAUAGCAACUGUGCAGUCGUCGCUCAACAUGUACAGAGCAUUAAAAAGCAGACCUACGGGACUGCUUUAGACUAUUAUAUGUGUGUUUGGCAUUCUGCAGUGGAGCUUUGUCCUCUGCCCUGCAGUGGAAUAGAAGUAUAUCCCAACCAUGUUUGCUAAUUAUGUUUUCCAAGCACAUAUUUCAUCUGCUGCUCAGUGUUCCCUGCCUGCACUUAUCAUACCCCCAUCCUCCAUCCUCAUACCCCGCUUACAUUUUCCGAUGUGCAACCAGCUUGUCUUUUACCUAAUUCAAAAUGGUGGAAGUGAAUUUAAAUAGUGCUGUUAUCAGAAUUAAACCCGGCGUGGCAUUACUUAUUAUGUGAUGGACUUCCUCAAAAUUACCAUAACGUGCUUAUAAACCUUUCCUCUACUUGAUUUGUAAGAUUUUCUUUUGUCAUUCAUUUGAAAUCUCUUCAUCUUGCAGCUUCCUAUUCACUCACCAUGUCGUGUUCUGCCGGGGAGGAGCGAGAUGCAUCAUCUUGUCUCGUGGUUUCACUUCAAAGCAUUUUAUUCAUUUAAUUAAAAACUGUCAGCAUGUUUGCUUCUUCAGCUGGAAAGGAGAUCAGUCGUUGCCCAAAUGUUUCAGAAUUUAUUUUAUUGACAUCUGAGGCACCGUUUGAAGUCUUGACAUGUAGAAAACCGUUUCUGUGAACUCCACCAACUGGUUAUGAUACGCCAUUGUCACCGCUGAGAUGGAUUAUGCCGGGUCACGGCUGACACCUCAGCAGCACUCGCUCACUUUCCAACCCCCUGUGCUCAGGAGUCUAUGGCGGAUGCGUUUCCAGGAAUAUUUGUGUGUCUGGGUUGACAGGUGCACAGCUGCACACCUCUGGAGCGGGUGCUGCCCGGCCAGAUGCUGUAGCAUGUCUGUGCAUUUGCAAGUGGUUGGAAAUUUUUUUGGCAAAGUGGACACUGCAGAUGCCUCUGAUUGCAUGGUGAGUCAAGUCGGAAUUUCCUCCUGGAUUAGGGCAGAGGAUCAGCAGUUAGAGCCCACUGGGCCAAGUUGUCGCACUUUGGCUGUGAACACAAGCAAACUUUGGAGCAGAAAGGCGCACAAACACUGAAACGCAUAAGAGACGCAUGCCAGAGCCAACUAAAAUAGAUCAAAUUCAAACCCCUGGAGAUGAUUGGAGAUGAUGAGAGUCUAUCUACUGGCUGAGGUGAUAAUCUUCCUUUCUUACUCUCUGGAGACACAACUUUUUAUUGUGCAUUAGAUUAAUGAUUGUUAAAGCAUUAACUCGUUCACUGCCAGUCGUUUCCUGAUCACAAAAGCCCUUCGCUGCCAGCAUUUUUCAGCAUUUUCACUUUUUUUUAAGAGUUACAGAAUGUCGCACGCUAGGAUGAUGUCGACGCCAAAACUACCAAAACCAAUUAUCCGUUCUUUCAUAAUCCAUUGUCGAAUUGUGGUCGGCAGAAGCUUUUUCAGUUCGUGCCUCACUUUUUUUUACAGCAGCGGCCCAAAACGAUCCUCUAACACGUGGAUUUUCUGCUUUCUGAUCAUGUGACGUGUGACGUACGUGGAUGAAGAUCGGCUUUAGAGCCGAGAUGUUUGUUCUCAUGGUGCUGGGACUCGUUCCGACGCCCAUACAUUAAAUGCAAAUGACAAAUUUAGUCGUCAAUGGCAGUGAAGGAGUUAAGGGCCAGUGAUGAAAGGAUGAAGCAGUCAUCUUUGUCAGUUGGAGUAAAACAAAAAAAAAAGGUCACUGAGAUACUUUCUACAUUCUGGAAGUUUCUGUAAAAACUUUUUUUUAACCCUUUAACUGGAGGGUCAGCAGCUACUUUCUCCACUACUAAAAGAAACCAAUAAAAACAAUCUAAAAAAUAUGGAAAAGUUUGAAAAAAAGUUUUUAUAUUAAGGGAAACCUAAAAUUAUAACUUAUUUUACAUUUUAUUACAACUCAUUAAUCAAUUAAUCAUUUGUCAUUAUUUGUAAUAGACAAAGAGUUUAUUUAAAGUGAGGAUCAAUGCAUGGGUGGAGACGUAUUUCAUCCUCACUUCCUGUAAGAAAAACGCUUCUGAAAGAGGCGUCGCCGGGCGGACCGAGAGAGCGGCACUGAGGCAGUGGUGGACCCCCCCCCCCCCCCCCCACACACACACACACACACACGUGUGCUGUCAGAGUUUCUCAGUCUAAAAUACAAGUUGUUAAGGAGCGCGUGCGCACUCGCGUGUGCACGCACUCACACAAGACUUACCGCUCAGGAGAAAAGCAAACAGCUUCUGCAGCAUUCUGGAGGAUUUCCUGUUAAUCCCGAUCAUUAGAUGAAAAAGGGAAGGAGGACAUUUUUUGUCAGGUGAGAGGCUCAGAGAGCUGAUGUGUCAAAUCAGCAGGUGAGUGGCUGAGCCAGGUGGAGGUGCGGCUGCCUCACCUGGAGACCAGUGCAGUGCAGCCACGUAGUACUUUGCUGCUAAUGUCACGUUUUUCAGCUUAGCCAUCAGCCACAGCUGGCUCUGAAUAAAUGUGGAGUAGAGUUUAACCUGAAGAUGGAGAUAUAAUUAUGGUUUUGGGCUGAAAUAAUAAAUUUAAAGUUGCACUAAACUGCCGCACUAAUGAUUACAUCUAUACAAGUUAUCAGCAAAAAGUACAUUUAGGCCUUACUUGCUCUUUCAAUUUUUUUUUUGUUUCAGACUUUUCCAGCUUUAUGAUAAAUAAUACCGAUUUAUUGGUGCUGAUGCUGUCGGGAAAAAAAAAGAAAACAAGUAGCAUUGAUGCUGCUUUAAAAUCGCUGGUUUUAAACUCUCAAAGCUGAAAAAUGUGAUGGACAUCUCUCCAUAGUUCAUCGCUUAUGUUGCUUUGUGCUCCUUCAGAGCAUCUUAAAAUGUAUGCUUCAUCUGGUCAAUAAACACCACGUUUUACAUCCCACAGCUGCUUGUCCGCUUCCUCUAAUGAAUGAAAUAACAGCAUACUUUGACAAUUAAAAACUUUUGAUUCUAUUAAUGUCCAUGGACACCUUUUGUGAUGUCACUCGAUACGCUGACGUCUUGGCAAAGUCCUGAGAAGGAUGUAUGUGGACACAAUGGCUGAGAGGACUGAGCCAUUUUGUUUUCCACCCUCCCAGAAAUUUCCCAGAACUCUUAUAGUGGAAACACGGCUAUUGACCAUCUUGUCUGCUCGGAAGCAAAAUGUUGGCACAAUUGUCUGCAUUAUCUCUACACCAGAACCAAAAAGGUCAGUGACCAGCGAUUGAUUAUGCUGUCUGCCGUGUAUUAUAUCGACUUUUACCACCGAUGUUACAUGGAGGUCCUUGUUUGCUCAACACCUAAUAAUUAUGUGCACGUUGGUGGAAGUGUCAUGGGGAUAUGUUCCCCCUGGGUUCAGACAGAGUCUGCCUUGAAGUGGAGAAGUUUUGAUACUUCAGUGGUUUGUUCACAAGAGACGGGAGGAUGGAGCGGUAAAUGGCCUGUAUUUGAUAUGGCACCUUCUAGAGUCCUAGAACCCCCACCAAGCCAGUUUACAACACGAUUUCAAAUCAAUUCAAUUCAAAUUCAAAGGUACUUUAUUAAUCCCAGAGGGAAAUUAGAGUUCCAGUACACACAAUUCAGAGAUCAGACAUACAUACAUACAUAGGCAAAGACACGUGACAAGAAUUGGUGACUGUGGUCAUUCGCAAUCCUGAGUCACGCUACCUUAAUAGAGAUCAGAGGGUUACAUGAGGAUUGGUUCAGGUGGAGGGAAAAAAGGCACUUCAGAGUUACCCUCCACAGAGAGGGCAGCUUUGCUAUGCAAACAACCACCUCAGAUAGAAAUGCAACAGACUUCAGGCAUCACACAACAUAAGUGUCCACUAGGUGGGGUGGUGGGUUUGGAACUCUCCACACGUCAGUUCCUGCAGCCACGAUAAGCAGCGCACGUCACCUCAGUCUGGACAGGGGAAGGAGGUCGUUGAGGUUUGAAGGGCACAGUGACUCCUGGAACGAUUCGGCGGGCUUCACAGCCCGCAGUCCUGCCCAGGCUGGGAUAGGCUCCUCCCCCUACCCUCACUUUAAAUUUACUGAUCUGUAUAUGUUCAAACUGUCAUCUAUGGCCACAAGAUAUGACUGACUGUUAAGAUGGCCACUUACAUAUUCUCGGAUAUAAGAGGCUCAGGAGGAGUCAUUUGAAGUGGUUUUGGCAUCUGACAUUUGAUUAGGAUGCCUCCUGAUUGCUUUCCUCUUGAGGCUUUCCGAGUAGUGGCGGAAUACCUAAAACUUCCAGUAGGGAUUACAUAUCCUUUCUGAUCUGAAAACACACUGGAGAUCCUCCAGGAGGAGCUGGAUAUACAGGGCUGGAGAGAGAGCAAUGACUGUGUCUCUCUUGGAUCACCAUAGGUAGAAGACUGUUGGAUAGAUGGACUGAUGAACGAACACCGUGGUUGCACUAAACCAGGGGUGUCGAACAUGCGGGCCGGAUCUGGCCCGCAAGCGGGUUAAAUCUGGCCCGCGAGAUGGUUGUGUAAACUUUAUUUUCAUACUUUACAAUGUAGAGUGAAAAUAAACUUAUCUUUGUGAGCAAGUUUCCUCUGUAAUGAGUAUAAAUGAAACAAAGCUGCGCUCAAGGCUCACACAAGAACUUGAAUCACAUCUUGAAGAUGGCCGCCACUCAGGAUGUGACUUCUGAUAUUGAUGUUCUGGUGACAGCUAAAAGAUGUGAAGUAAAAUGAGUUAAAUAUACUUUAAGUGCUGCAUGAAACUGAUCUAGCCAUGUGAUCUGUAAGCUCUUUGAAUCACUAAGGAAUGUUCUUUUAUUUAUUUAUUUUUUUAAUUUUUUUUUUUCAAAUUUUCAAGUACACUUCAGGUGUUGUACUUGUACUACACUGUCCUCAGGCUCCAGCCUUGUUUUAUGUUGAUUGUAUUAAAACAAAGACAACAAUCUGAAGUUUUUUUUUUUAUUAUUAUUUACCGGUCCGGCCCACUUGGGACUAGAUUUCCCUCAAUGUGGCCCCUGAGCUAAAAUGAGUUUGACACCCCUGCACUAAACUCAAGCAUUUUAUAGAGAUGCAAAGAGUUCAACUAAUACCUAACAUCACAGAAAUGACCUGGAAUGAAAUCCAGUGACACAACAUUGGGCCAGAGUAAGUGCAAAUUUUAUUUUUGAACUGGGUGUUGGGGCUCUGCAAUUGGCAGGAAAUAUGUGAAAAUAAGAGCAGAGUAUCUGCCGCGCCAGCUGAGACUGCUAUUUGACACUGAACCUGGCAGUGGGAUGGCAGUGAAAGACAGAAGGUUUUGAACAUGAUGUGCAGACUUGGACAAGCUGUCAGACAUAAAUGGAUGGUUUGUUGUCAUCAACAGUCUGCGGAUCUCCCUAGUGGAGGAACAGGUCUGCAAUCACAAUGUCUGUGUGCUUGUAUACAAGGACUCAUUUAGUAGCACUGGGAUGUAAUACUGCAUAAUUGAUGAACCAGGGGCACAUGUGGAUUGGGUGUAUGUAUCUCUGGCACGGGCAUCAAACAUGUUUUCUUUACUAAUGAAGCCUGAAAUAUGUUCAGUGGAGUUUCAGACUGUUAAAGGAUGCCUUUUUGUUAUAAUUAAUGAUUUUCUUCCCAUUUUUUAGCCUGUUGUGGCUUAUUUUAAUGCUGCAGUGCAUUUAUUUAUUUAUUUAUUUUGCAUUCCCUUUUGCAUCCUUCCUCAGGGUCCGUCUGUUUAUUUAACUCCCACACACAAACAGACACUGAGAAAAUGGAGACAUGAGAGUAUUAACAGCCAGGAAACAAAAUGCUUACAGUAUAUUAUAAGGUGCCAUUAAGUGUAAACAUACCUAAAGCAGUUUUUGGUUGCUGCUGCAGUUAACGCCAUCAAAACUAUUCCUCACAGAGCAUCAGUGCAAACGCAUACUUAAAACCCUGAGGAUGAGUUUAUGUAGCAGCGCUGCAGAAAUGCAGAUUGCGUUGCUUAUGAGGAGGAGGCAUUUUGCAAUUGAGGAAAUCUUGAUGACACACUAAAACCCAGUAGUGGGUGUAUCAGACAGCCUUCAUAUCUAGCUUCCCUUCAUUUGGCCAGUGAGAUGCUGAUUGUCAGUGGACUCAUUUGGUCUCCUGCUCUUCCUACAUGUUGUUCCCUUGUGUUGUCUGCCUUCUAAUGAGAUUCUCAGAUACUUAAAGAAGCACUUCAUGUAAGUAACCAAAAAAGACCGUGCUGAUGAUCCAUCGAUUUCCCGAGCUCCUUUUAUUAUAAACCAGUUGACAUUUAUUUGAAAAGAAGAGUGAAAAUAAACAAAAUCGUACAUAAUAUUUAGGAUGCACAAAUUUUUAGUGAAUUUUUUACCUUGCCAUGUCAUGGAGUUUGCAUGUUCUCCCUGUGCAUGCAUAGAUUGUCUCCGAUUACUCCGGCUUCUGCCACAGUCUGAAAGUAUGACAGUCAAGUUUACUGGUCUUUCUAAAUUGUCCUUGUGUGUUAGCAUGUGUGUGUGUGCAUAGCUGUUUGUCUUGUGUGUCUCUGUGUUACCCUGCAAUGGCCUGGCAAUCUGUCCGGGGUGUACCCCACCUGUUUGCCCAGAGACUGCUGGAGACGGACACCAGCCCUCCACGACGCUGCAUGGACAAGCGAUGGAGGUCAUGGAGUGUGCAGAAUUCAUAAGGUUUCCUACAUAAGUCUAACGUUCACACUUAAAUUAAACAAACAAAAAAGAGAAAAAUGUCAUUGCUCAUCGCAGCAAUCAUACAUGCAGUUUCCAGUGACUCGUGAUUUAUAUUAGCACAGCUUGUGGUCCAUUGUAGUGUCCUGUCUUUAAAGGUCUUUAUAGUAAGUUUACAGAAAAUAUGUAAUGGGGAACAUGCUUCAACACAAGCAGUUGUUUUCCGCUUGUGCUCAACCAGUGUCUAUUUAAUGUAGCGUAAUAUUGUUUUUGGAUGGUAAAAAGUGCAAGGGACAAAAAAUGGCUUUGGAAAAAGCGGGGUGGACCCCCCCCCCCC